rnacentral:rRNA from 1 species
UACAGAGGUGGCAAGCGUUGUUCGGAAUUACUGGGCGUAAAGGGCGCGUAGGCGGUCGAUUAAGUCCCGUGUGAAAUCCCUCGGCUCAACUGAGGAACUGCACGGGAAACUGGCUGACUUGAGUUCGGGAGAGGGAAGCGGAAUUCCGGGUGUAGCGGUGAAAUGCGUAGAUAUCCGGAGGAACACCGGUGGCGAAGGCGGCUUCCUGGACCGAUACUGACGCUGAGGCGCGAAAGCUAGGGGAGCAAACGGG